ensembl:snRNA U6 U6 spliceosomal RNA
GUGCUCCCUUUGACAACACUUAUACUAACACUGGAAGAAUAUAGAGAAGAUAUGCAUGGCUGCUGUGCAAGGAUGACAUGAAGCCACAAUUUACUUAAGCAAUAUUA